GGGUUGUGAGGUUAAGCGACUAAGCGUACACGGUGGAUGCCCUGGCAGUCAGAGGCGAUGAAGGACGUGCUAAUCUGCGAAAAGCGUCGGUAAGGUGAUAUGAACCGUUAUAGCCGGCGAUGUCCGAAUGGGGAAACCCAGUGCAAUUCGUUGCACUAUCGUUUGAUGAAUACAUAGUCAAACGAGGCGAACCGGGGGAACUGAAACAUCUAAGUACCCCGAGGAAAAGAAAUCAACCGAGAUUCCCCCAGUAGCGGCGAGCGAACGGGGAGCAGCCCGGAGUCUGAAUCAGCUUGUGUGUUAGUGGAAGCGUCUGGAAAGUCGCAGGGUACAGGGUGAUACUCCCGUACACUAAAGCACACAGGCUGUGAACUCGAAGAGUAGGGCGGGACACGUGGUAUCCUGUCUGAAUAUGGGGGGACCAUCCUCCAAGGCUAAAUACUCCUGACUGACCGAUAGUGAACCAGUACCGUGAGGGAAAGGCGAAAAGAACCCCGGCGAGGGGAGUGAAAAAGAACCUGAAACCGUGUACGUACAAGCAGUAGGAGCCUCUUUAUGGGGUGACUGCGUACCUUUUGUAUAAUGGGUCAGCGACUUAUAUUCUGUAGCAAGGUUAACCGUAUAGGGGAGCCGCAGGGAAACCGAGUCUUAACUGGGCGUUAAGUUGCAGGGUAUAGACCCGAAACCCGGUGAUCUAGCCAUGGGCAGGUUGAAGGUUGGGUAACACUAACUGGAGGACCGAACCGACUAAUGUUGAAAAAUUAGCGGAUGACUUGUGGCUGGGGGUGAAAGGCCAAUCAAACCGGGAGAUAGCUGGUUCUCCCCGAAAGCUAUUUAGGUAGCGCCUCGUGAACUCAUCUUCGGGGGUAGAGCACUGUUUCGGCUAGGGGGUCAUCCCGACUUACCAACCCGAUGCAAACUACGAAUACCGAAGAAUGUUAUCACGGGAGACACACGGCGGGUGCUAACGUCCGUCGUGAAGAGGGAAACAACCCAGACCGCCAGCUAAGGUCCCAAAGUCAUGGUUAAGUGGGAAACGAUGUGGGAAGGCCCAGACAGCCAGGAUGUUGGCUUAGAAGCAGCCAUCAUUUAAAGAAAGCGUAAUAGCUCACUGGUCGAGUCGGCCUGCGCGGAAGAUGUAACGGGGCUAAACCAUGCACCGAAGCUGCGGCAGCGACACUAUGUGUUGUUGGGUAGGGGAGCGUUCUGUAAGCCGUUGAAGGUGGCCUGUGAGGGUUGCUGGAGGUAUCAGAAGUGCGAAUGCUGACAUAAGUAACGAUAAUGCGGGUGAAAAACCCGCACGCCGGAAGACCAAGGGUUCCUGUCCAACGUUAAUCGGGGCAGGGUGAGUCGACCCCUAAGGCGAGGCCGAAAGGCGUAGUCGAUGGGAAACAGGUUAAUAUUCCUGUACUCGGUGUUACUGCGAAGGGGGGACGGAGAAGGCUAUGUUGGCCGGGCGACGGUUGUCCCGGUUUAAGCAUGUAGGCGGAUGUUCCAGGUAAAUCCGGAACGUUAUUAACGCUGAGGUGUGAUGACGAGGCACUACGGUGCUGAAGUGACAAAUGCCCUGCUUCCAGGAAAAGCCUCUAAGCAUCAGGUAACAUCAAAUCGUACCCCAAACCGACACAGGUGGUCAGGUAGAGAAUACCAAGGCGCUUGAGAGAACUCGGGUGAAGGAACUAGGCAAAAUGGUGCCGUAACUUCGGGAGAAGGCACGCUGAUGGUAAGUGAAGUGACUUGCUCAUGGAGCUGAAAUCAGUCGAAGAUACCAGCUGGCUGCAACUGUUUAUUAAAAACACAGCACUGUGCAAACACGAAAGUGGACGUAUACGGUGUGACGCCUGCCCGGUGCCGGAAGGUUAAUUGAUGGGGUUAUCCGUAAGGAGAAGCUCUUGAUCGAAGCCCCGGUAAACGGCGGCCGUAACUAUAACGGUCCUAAGGUAGCGAAAUUCCUUGUCGGGUAAGUUCCGACCUGCACGAAUGGCGUAAUGAUGGCCAGGCUGUCUCCACCCGAGACUCAGUGAAAUUGAACUCGCUGUGAAGAUGCAGUGUACCCGCGGCAAGACGGAAAGACCCCGUGAACCUUUACUAUAGCUUGACACUGAACACUGGUCCUUGAUGUGUAGGAUAGGUGGGAGGCUUUGAAGUGUGGACGCCAGUCUGCAUGGAGCCAUCCUUGAAAUACCACCCUUUAAUGGCUGGUGUUCUAACGUGGGCCCGUUAUCCGGGUUGCGGACAGUGUCUGGUGGGUAGUUUGACUGGGGCGGUCUCCUCCUAAAGAGUAACGGAGGAGCACGAAGGUCAGCUAAUCCUGGUCGGACAUCAGGAGGUUAGUGCAAUGGCAUAAGCUGGCUUGACUGCGAGCGUGACGGCGCGAGCAGGUGCGAAAGCAGGUCAUAGUGAUCCGGUGGUUCUGAAUGGAAGGGCCAUCGCUCAACGGAUAAAAGGUACUCCGGGGAUAACAGGCUGAUACCGCCCAAGAGUUCAUAUCGACGGCGGUGUUUGGCACCUCGAUGUCGGCUCAUCACAUCCUGGGGCUGAAGUAGGUCCCAAGGGUAUGGCUGUUCGCCAUUUAAAGUGGUACGCGAGCUGGGUUUAGAACGUCGUGAGACAGUUCGGUCCCUAUCUGCCGUGGGCGCUGGAGAAUUGAGGGGGGCUGCUCCUAGUACGAGAGGACCGGAGUGGACGCAUCACUGGUGUUCGGGUUGUCAUGCCAAUGGCAUUGCCCGGUAGCUAAAUGCGGAAGAGAUAAGUGCUGAAAGCAUCUAAGCACGAAACUUGCCCCGAGAUGAGUUCUCCCUGACCCUUUAAGGGUCCUGAAGGAACGUUGAAGACGACGACGUUGAUAGGCCGGGUGUGUAAGCGCAGCGAUGCGUUGAGCUAACCGGUACUAAUGAACCGUGAGGCUUAACCUUACAACGCCGAAG
rnacentral:rRNA from 1 species